AUUGAACGCUGGCGGCAGGCUUAACACAUGCAAGUCGAGCGGGGAAAGGUAGCUUGCUCCCUGACCUAGCGGCGGACGGGUGAGUAAUGCUUAGGAAUCUGCCUAUUAGUGGGGGACAACAUCUCGAAAGGGAUGCUAAUACCGCAUACGUCCUACGGGAGAAAGCAGGGGACCUUCGGGCCUUGCGCUAAUAGAUGAGCCUAAGUCGGAUUAGCUAGUUGGUGGGGUAAAGGCCUACCAAGGCGACGAUCUGUAGCGGGUCUGAGAGGGUGAUCCGCCACACUGGGACUGAGACACGGCCCAGACUCCUACGGGAGGCAGCAGUGGGGAAUAUUGGACAAUGGGGGGAACCCUGAUCCAGCCAUGCCGCGUGUGUGAAGAAGGCCUUUUGGUUGUAAAGCACUUUAAGCGAGGAGGAGGCUACCGAGAUUAAUACUCUUGGAUAGUGGACGUUACUCGCAGAAUAAGCACCGGCUAACUCUGUG
rnacentral:rRNA from 1 species